rnacentral:rRNA from 1 species
AGAGUUUGAUCAUGGCUCAGGACGAACGCUGGCGGCGCGCCUAACACAUGCAAGUCGAGCGAGAACCAGGGCUUCGGUCCUGGGGACAGCGGCGAACGGGUGAGUAACACGCGGAUAACCUGCCCUCGGCACCGGAAUAGCCCGGGGAAACCCGGAUUAAUGCCGGAUGGCCCCACAUCCCUGCGGGGAACGUGGGAAAAGGUAGCUUCGGCCUCUGGCCGAGGAUGGGUCCGCGGUGGAUUAGCUUGUUGGCGGGGUAACGGCCCACCAAGGCGACGAUCCAUAGCUGGUCUGAGAGGACGGUCAGCCACACUGGGACUGAGACACGGCCCAGACUCCUACGGGAGGCAGCAGUGGGGAAUCUUGCGCAAUGGGCGAAAGCCUGACGCAGCGACGCCGCGUGGGGGAAGAAGGCCUUAGGGUUGUAAACCUCUUUCAGGUGGGACGAAGCCACUCGGGUUAAUAGCCCAGAGGGUGACGGUACCGCCAGAAGAAGCCCCGGCUAACUACGUGCCAGCCGCCGCGGUAAUAC